rnacentral:rRNA from 1 species
UUUUUUGGAGAGUUUGAUCCUGGCUCAGGACGAACGCUGGCGGCGUGCCUAAUACAUGCAAGUCGAGCGAACCAAUAAGAAGCUUGCUUUUUGUUGGUUAGCGGCGGACGGGUGAGUAACACGUGG